GACGAACGCUGGCGGCGUGCCUAACACAUGCAAGUCGAACGGGGAUCAGAGAAAGGUUUACCUUUAUCUGAUUCUAGUGGCGAACGGGUGAGUAACGCGUGGGCAACCUGCCUCAUACAGGGGGAUAACACUGGGAAACUAGUGCUAAUACCGCAUAACGUCACGAUAUGGCAUCAUAAUGUGACCAAAGGAGCAAUCCGGUAUGAGAUGGGCCCGCGUCCGAUUAGCUAGUUGGUGAGGUAACAGCUCACCAAGGCGACGAUCGGUAGCCGAACUGAGAGGUUGAUCGGCCACAUUGGGACUGAGACACGGCCCAGACUCCUACGGGGGGCAGCAGUGGGGGAUCUUGCACAAUGGGCGAAAGCCUGAUGCAGCGACGCCGCGUGAGCGAAGAAGGCCUUCGGGUUGUAAAGCUCUGUCUGGAGGGACGAACAAAAUGACGGUACCUCCGGAGGAAGCCACGGCUAACUACGUG
rnacentral:rRNA from 1 species